UACGUAGGGUGCAAGCGUUGUCCGGAAUUAUUGGGCGUAAAGAGCUUGUAGGCGGUUUGUCGCGUCUGCUGUGAAAUUUCGGGGCUCAACCCCGAACUUGCAGUGGGUACGGGCAGACUAGAGUGUGGUAGGGGAGACUGGAAUUCCUAGUGUAGCGGUGAAAUGCGCAGAUAUCAGGAGGAACACCGAUGGCGAAGGCAGGUCUCUGGGCCACUACUGACGCUGAGAAGCGAAAGCAUGGGGAGCGAACAGG
rnacentral:rRNA from 1 species